rnacentral:rRNA from 1 species
CACCCCCUUAGAAAUAGGGGGACUCUUUGGACACUCGUGAACAGGUGGUGCAUGGUUGUCGUCAGCUCGUGUCGUGAGAUGUUGGGUUAAGUCCCGCAACGAGCGCAACCCUCGUUCUAUGUUGCCAGCACGUAAUGGUGGGAACUCAUGGGAUACUGCCGGGGUCAACUCGGAGGAAGGUGGGGAUGACGUCAAAUCAUCAUGCCCCUUAUGUCUUGGGCUUCACGCAUGCUACAAUGGCCGGUACAAAGGGCUGCAAUACCGUGAGGUGGAGCGAAUCCCAAAAAGCCGGUCCCAGUUCGGAUUGAGGUCUGCAACUCGACCUCAUGAAGUCGGAGUCGCUAGUAAUCGCAUAUCAGCGACGCUGCGGUGAAUACGUCCCUGCCUUGGGACACACCAGA